rnacentral:tRNA from 1 species
GGUGGGAUUGGAGAGUGGUCAAAUCCCUCGGAUUGUAAAUCCGAUGCCUUAGGCUUCGAAGGUUCAAAUCCUUCUCCCACCACCA